rnacentral:rRNA from 1 species
CCUACGGGAGGCAGCAGUGAGGAAUAUUGGUCAAUGGACGUAAGGCUGAACCAGCCAAGUCGCGUGAAGGAAGACGGAUCUAUGGUUUGUACACUGCUUUUGUAGGGGAAUAAAGGUAUCCACGCGUGGAUGUUUGAAUGUAUCGUACGAAUAAGCAUCGGCUAACUCCGUGCCAGCAGCCGCGGUAAUACGGAGGAUGCGAGCGUUAUCCGGAUUUAUUGGGUUUAAAGGGUGCGUAGGAUGUUGUAUAAGUCAGAGGUGAAAUUUUGUGGCUCAACUAUAGAAUUGCCGUUGAUACUGGACGGCUUGAGUGUGUUUGCGGUAGGCGGAAUGUGUGGUGUAGCGGUGAAAUGCUUAGAUAUCACACAGAACACCGAUUGCGAAGGCAGCUUACUAAGCUAUAUCUGACGCUGAAGCACGAAAGCGUGGGGAUCAAACAGGAUUAGAUACCCUGGUAGUC